CAAUAGCGUAUAUUUAAGUUGCUGCAGUUAAAAAGCUCGUAGUUGGAUUUCGGGUGGGAAUGGCCGGUCCGCCGUUUCGGUGUGCACUUGCUACGCCCACCUUGCUGCCGGGGACGUGCUCUUGAGUUCACGCUCGGGACACGGAGUCGGCGAGGUUACUUUGAGUAAAUUAGAGUGUUCAAAGCAGGCCUACGCUCUGAAUACAUUAGCAUGGAAUAACACGAUAGGACUCUGGCCUAUCUUGUUGGUCUGUAGGACCGGAGUAAUGAUUAAGAGGGACAGUCGGGGGCGGUCGUAUUUCAUUGUCAGAGGUGAAAUUCUUGGAUUUAUGAAAGACGAACUACUGCGAAAGCAUUUGCCAAGGAUGUUUUCAUUAA
rnacentral:rRNA from 1 species